rnacentral:rRNA from 1 species
GACGAACGCUGGCGGCGUGCUUAACACAUGCAAGUCGAACGGAAAGGCCCUGCUUUUGUGGGGUGCUCGAGUGGCGAACGGGUGAGUAACACGUGAGUAACCUGCCCUUGACUUUGGGAUAACUGCAGGAAACUGGGGCUAAUACCGGAUAGGAGCUCCUGCUGCAUGGUGGGGGUUGGAAAGUUUCGGCGGUUGGGGAUGGACUCGCGGCUUAUCAGCUUGUUGGUGGGGUAGUGGCUUACCAAGGCUUUGACGGGUAGCCGGCCUGAGAGGGUGACCGGCCAUAUUGGGACUGAGAUACGGCCCAGACUCCUACGGGAGGCAGCAGUGGGGAAUAUUGCACAAUGGGCGGAAGCCUGAUGCAGCAACGCCGCGUGCGGGAUGACGGCCUUCGGGUUGUAAACCGCUUUCGCCUGUGACGAAGCGUGAGUGACGGUAAUGGGUAAAGAAGCACCGGCUAACUACGUGCCAGCAGCCGCGGUGAUACGUAGGGUGCGAGCGUUGUCCGGAUUUAUUGGGCGUAAAGGGCUCGUAGGUGGUUGAUCGCGUCGGAAGUGUAAUCUUGGGGCUUAACCCUGAGCGUGCUUUCGAUACGGGUUGACUUGAGGAAGGUAGGGGAGAAUGGAAUUCCUGGUGGAGCGGUGGAAUGCGCAGAUAUCAGGAGGAACACCAGUGGCGAAGGCGGUUCUCUGGGCCUUUCCUGACGCUGAGGAGCGAAAGCGUGGGGAGCGAACAGGCUUAGAUACCCUGGUAGUCCACGCUGUAAACGGUGGGUACUAGGUGUGGGGUCCAUUCCACGGGUUCCGUGCCGUAGCUAACGCUUUAAGUACCCCGCCUGGGGAGUACGGCCGCAAGGCUAAAACUCAAAGGAAUUGACGGGGCCCCGCACAAGCGGCGGAGCAUGCGGAUUAAUUCGAUGCAACGCGUAGAACCUUACCUGGGUUUGACAUGGAUCGGGAGUGCUCAGAGAUGGGUGUGCCUCUUUUGGGGUCGGUUCACAGGUGGUGCAUGGUUGUCGUCAGCUCGUGUCGUGAGAUGUUGGGUUAAGUCCCGCAACGAGCGCAACCCUUGUUCACUGUUGCCAGCACGUUAUGGUGGGGACUCAGUGGAGACCGCCGGGGUCAACUCGGAGGAAGGUGGGGAUGACGUCAAGUCAUCAUGCCCCUUAUGUCCAGGGCUUCACGCAUGCUACAAUGGCUGGUACAGAGAGUGGCGAGCCUGUGAGGGUGAGCGAAUCUCGGAAAGCCGGUCUCAGUUCGGAUUGGGGUCUGCAACUCGACCUCAUGAAGUCGGAAUCGCUAGUAAUCGCAGAUCAGCAACGCUGCGGUGAAUACGUUCCCGGG